UGCAAGAAGUAGAACGGCAGACCGGAGCUGAUGGGAAAGCAAGACGUAUGCACCGGGUGAGCUUUGGUUGAAUCCAAGCAUUAUUUAUACCAGAUGCCGAUCAUCUCUAGCCUUUCACUCGGACCUUGAGAAGGUAAAGCCAGAGGGAAGACAGAAGACCAUUACAGAAGGAUUGCGUGUUAGUCUGCUACCAGUUGGGAGCCAUUGGAGGACAUUUGGCGGCCAUCUUGUUUUGGGUCAUAACCAGAAACCAUCCAGGAGAAUGUAGCUAUUGGGAUGACCUUUGUGACCUCACCUUUGCCUGCCCCCGGAAUAAUCAACCACCAAUCAGGAACCCUGAGGGAUGUGGUUGGCUGGUUCCAGUGAUGGACAGGUGACCAGCCAGCCCUCUAGCUGCCCUCUCCUGCUCUGAUUCCCCCUCUCCUUCCCCCCUCCCUCCCUGGCGUGCGGUG